UACGUAGGGUGCGAGCGUUGCCCGGAUUUAUUGGGCGUAAAGGGCGCGUAGGCGGCCACGCACGUCCGUUGUGAAAUCGCCCGGCUCAACUGGGCGGGGUCAGCGGAUACGGUGUGGCUCGAGCAAGCUAGGGGGCAAUGGAAUUCCCGGUGUAGUGGUGGAAUGCGUAGAUAUCGGGAGGAACACCAGUGGCGAAGGCGGUUGCCUGGAGCUUUGCUGACGCUCAGGGACGAAAGCUAGGGGAGCGAAUGGG
rnacentral:rRNA from 1 species